UGCUGGAGAUCCCUGCCUACCUAUGACUUUCUAAAGUGAGCAGAGGAGGGGUCACAAGCAGGUUAUGGAGGCACACAAAAAAACCAGUGAGAUUCUGUCCUGUCAGAUGGUCUCCUGUUCUACAAGCAACACGACAUCCACCACAACUAAGAUGUUCAAAUGACAGCCACGUGACUGAGGGACAAACAAACAUCUGGACCAAUGAGAAAGACUAGUCAGAACCCAGUGAAGAAAGACAAUCAAAUUUUGACAUGAGAGGAAAGCCUUGGUCCAAGGCUGAGUUCAUGCUGGCCUUAUCCUACCUGUAUGCGGCUCUGCACUGAGGUUACAAAAGAAGCAUAUCCUUGGCAGCUUAGUGACAAUACUAGCACCCACAUUCACAGACUGCAUCACUUCCUUCAUCAUACCUCUCUGUUAUUAAUGUUUAUCUGACGUAGCUGAAGUCUGAAAUCUUUGCCUACGCAUACAGCAGAUUUAGGGCUUAUCUAUUAGACAUUGGCUGAAACACAUAUUUACAUGUGUUCAAAUGGGAAUUGGAAAAAAAUAUGAAUGCAAGAGCAGAUGAAGGUCACAGUUCAAGUAUCAAAAUAGGUGUUAACUGUAGGUAGACUAUAGAGGAACAGUGCUAUUUCUUUUUCUUCAGAGAAAAUAUUUCAUUCCUUUUGCUUUUAUAAAGCAAGUAAUAAAGGCAUAGCUUUGCUAACAUCCUCUAGGUUCAACAGCUCAAGCCCAAAGUCUCACUGAUUUUAUGUAAUAUGGUGCUUGAAAUUCAGAUGAUAGGAACAUAUACAGCAGCACAAAGCCAAAGUUUUGUGGCAAUCCACAAGCCUGUAACAAAAAAAAAAAAAAAAAAAAAAAAAAGGCCUUGGCAUUUACAAUUUUUGAAGUCCUAGCCCCUUCUGAAACUGAAUCUGAAGAGAACUGAUUUACGCUGUUACCAAUGUAACAGAUCCACUUGAGAAAACUUCUAUCAGCACAAAUGAGAUCAAGCUCUGGGACAAAACCCUUGAAAUAAUCUUUUUUUUUUUUUCUUUUUCUUUUUUAAAUGCCAUACUUUGACACAUUUACAUGUGUAAAGAGAUAUCUGAUCUCAAAGCAGGCAAAUGUUUGUGUAAUUGGUUAGUCUGCCUGCACAAAAAUUGUCAAACGGGGAAUUUGGAAUUCUUUUCUGGUAAGUCUUGCUAUUUGGAUUUGUUCCCCAAAGGGAUGGCUAGACAACAUGCAGACUCCUGAGUUAAGGGAUAUGUCCUUAGUAACCAUGUGGGUUUUUCACCUGUGGUUUGAGAGCAAGAGAUCACACGUAUCUUAAUUUUUCCUGCACUUAAAAAAAAAAAAAAAAAAAAAA